rnacentral:rRNA from 1 species
GACGAACGCUGGCGGCGUGCUUAACACAUGCAAGUCGAACGGAAAGGCCCUGCUUUUGUGGGGUGCUCGAGUGGCGAACGGGUGAGUAACACGUGAGUAACCUGCCCUUGACUUUGGGAUAACUUCAGGAAACUGGGGCUAAUACCGGAUAGGAGCUCCUGCUGCAUGGUGGGGGUUGGAAAGUUUCGGCGGUUGGGGAUGGACUCGCGGCUUAUCAGCUUGUUGGUGGGGUAGUGGCUUACCAAGGCUUUGACGGGUAGCCGGCCUGAGGGGGUGACCGGCAAGACGGGGAUGGGCAGCCGGGCAAGCGGGCGGGGGAGGGCGGAAGUGGGAAAUGGGGCGGAGGGGGAGGAGAGGUGAUGGGGCGGAGGCUGGCGGGGGGGGAGGGCCUGGGGGUUGUAAGCCGCGUGCGCGUGUGGCGGGGCGUGAGUGAGAGUAAGGGGACCAGAAGAACCGUCGAACUGCGUGAGAGGCGGGGUGGUGAUAGCCCCCCACGUUUGAAG